GACGAACGCUGGCGGUGUGCCUAACACAUGCAAGUCGAACGGUAAGGCCCUUUCGGGGGUACACGAGUGGCGAACGGGUGAGUAACACGUGAGUAACCUGCCCUCAUCUCUGGGAUAACAGUCGGAAACGGUUGCUAAUACUGGAUAUGAGCUUGCAAGGCAUCUUGUGGGUUGGAAAGAUUUUUUUGGUUGGGGAUGGACUCGCGGCCUAUCAGCUUGUUGGUGAGGUAGUGGCUCACCAAGGCUUCGACGGGUAGCCGGCCUGAGAGGGCGACCGGCCACAUUGGGACUGAGAUACGGCCCAAACUCCUACGGGAGGCAGCAGUGGGGAAUAUUGCACAAUGGACGGAAGUCUGAUGCAGCAACGCCGCGUGCGGGAGGACGGCCUUCGGGUUGUAAACCGCUUUCAAUUGUGACGAAGCUUUUUGUGACGGUAGCAGUAGAAGAAGCACCGGCUAACUACGUG
rnacentral:rRNA from 1 species